CUAAAUUGAGACAAGGAGAAUAAUUUUUGUGGGGUGGACUGGCCUAUGAAUUGGUGAAUCAAUAACGAAAAGUUAAAAGAAAGUUUUAUGAUAUAAUUGAAAUCCUACACACACCUAACAUAUAUAUGAUGUUACAAUUACCUAACUGUAUUACCAAUAUGCAAUUAUAUAUCUUUUGUACUUUAAUCUAUUCUUUACUGUAUUUCCAAUAUGCAAUUAUAUACCUUUUGUACUUUAAUCUAUUCUUUAUUUCCUUUUCCAUUUCUUUCCUACAACACUAGGACUGUCCACAAACCAAUAUGAAAGUGGGAGUCAUUGGUGACAUGGUAUAAAUUCUUAUCUAAAUAUUCUAUCAAUUUGUUUGUAUGGAUUUAAUUUAAUACAUAUUUUUAAGAAAAAGGAGAAUUAAAUUUUUUGUAAUUUUAAACUAAAAACAUACUCAGAUAUUAUUUAAUCAUAUGAUUCUAAACAUAUUUUUGAAAAGAAAAAGACAUUAUUUUAAUGAAAUUUAAAGAAUAAAAAAACCAAACAAAUUAUUAAAAUAUAGAGAGAAGGAAAACAUCAAAUCAUAUAAUUGGGCUCAAUCACAGCCUCGUUGACUCACUGAAACUAUAUUCAUUCGGCUUGAAUCAUUGCCCAAAAACAAAAAAAUAAAAAUAAAAAUUACACUAUAUAUAUAUACAUAUAUAUAUAUAUAUAUAUAUAUAUAUAUAUAUAUAUGUCAACAACUAUUGAUGAAUCGACUUAGCCAUCGAACCCGGUCUGGCUCCACACUGCAUCUCGAACUCGACUCAUGUCCCUACCCUUUAAUGUCCUUCCCACACCUUCAAAC
rnacentral:lncRNA from 1 species